rnacentral:rRNA from 1 species
GACGAACCGUGCGAACGUUGUUCGGAAUCACUGGGCUUAAAGGGCGCGUAGGCGGGCGGGCAAGUCAGGGGUGAAAUCCCACGGCUCAACCGUGGAAGGGCCCUUGAUACUGCCCAUCUCGAGGGAGGUAGGGGCGUGCGGAACUUCCGGUGGAGCGGUGAAAUGCGUAGAUAUCGGAAGGAACACCGGUGGCAAAAGCGGCGCGCUGGACCUCUUCUGACGCUGAGGCGCGAAAGCCAGGGGAGCAAACAGG